CGGGGAAAGAAGACCCUGUUGAGCUUGACUCUAGUCUGACGUUGUGAAAUGACUCAUGAGGUGUAGAAUAAGUGGGAGACGUUGUCGUUUGUGAAAUACCACUACUCGUGUUGUCGUUUUACUUAGAUUGUUACGUGUUGGUUGUUUUGGUGCAAAAAUGGACAAGCGAUCGAUAGCGUCAGGUGGGGAGUUUGGCUGGGGCGGCACAUCUG
rnacentral:rRNA from 1 species